GAUGAGGUGGCCGAGUGGUUAAGGCGAUGGACUGCUAAUCCAUUGCGCUCUGCGUGCGUGGGUUCGAAUCCCACCCUCAUCG
rfam:Chelonia mydas contig256865, whole genome shotgun sequence.